rnacentral:pre_miRNA from 1 species
AUAAUACUCCCUCUGUCCAGAAUUACUUGUCAUCAAAAUGGAUGUGUCUAGAACUAAAAUACAUCUAGAUACAUCCAUUUCAAUGACAAGUAUUUUCGAACGGAGAGAGUAGUAG